UACAGAGGGUGCAAGCGUUGUUCGGAAUCACUGGGCGUAAAGGGUGCGUAGGCGGGUCUUUAAGUCAGGGGUGAAAUCCUGGAGCUCAACUCCAGAACUGCCUUUGAUACUGAAGAUCUUGAGUUCGGGAGAGGUGAGUGGAACUGCGAGUGUAGAGGUGAAAUUCGUAGAUAUUCGCAAGAACACCAGUGGCGAAGGCGGCUCACUGGCCCGAUACUGACGCUGAGGCACGAAAGCGUGGGGAGCAAACAGG
rnacentral:rRNA from 1 species